rnacentral:tRNA from 1 species
UCCCGACUGGUGUAGUGGUUAGCAUUUCCGCUUUUCAAAGCUUCUGCAUUGAAAGAUAAACGCGGGAGACCGGGGUUCAAUUCCCCGGUCGGGAA